rnacentral:lncRNA from 1 species
CCACCAGAAAGUCUGAAAAAGCUCAGAACACAAUCAAUCACUCGAACCCAGCAAUUUGCAAGGUCCAGUGCGUUACACAUAUAUAAACAAAUUCACAAUCAUAUAUAACAUAUUCACAAUACUAGUCANUAAACAAAUUCACAAUCAUAUAUAACAUAUUCACAAUACUAGUCAUAAGAUCACAAUUGCACAUUCACAAUCAUAUAUAAACAAUCUGCCCAGUACCAGUCACAAUGUGCACAAUUGCACAGUCACAUAUAUAAACAAAUUCACAGUAAUAUAUAAACAAAUUCACAAUCAUAUAAAAAGAAAUUGUCCAAUACCAGUCACAAAUUCAUAAUUGCACAUUCACAAUCAUAUAUAAACAAACUGCCCAAUACCACUCACAAGUGCAUAAUCCUAUAACAUUCAGACAUCAUCUUUUGCGACAGUGGACUCAAUCAUU